rnacentral:rRNA from 1 species
CGGUUGAUCCUGCCGGACCCCACCGCUAUCGGGAUGGGACUAAGACAUGCUAGUCGAGCGCCUCCCAAGCCUAAUGAGUUGGAGAGGCGCGGCGGACAGCUCAGUAACACGUGGCUAACCUACCCUCGGGACGGGGAUACCCCCGGGAAACUGGGGCUAAUCCCCGAUAGGUGAAAAUUCUUGGAAUAGAUUUUCACCGAAAAGGCGCUUAAAGCAUGCUUUUAAGCGCCGCCCAAGGAGGGAGCCGCGGCCGAUCAGGUUGUUGGUGAGGUAACGGCUCACCAAGCCUUUAACCGGUACGGGCCGUGAGAGCGGGAGCCCGGAGAUGGGCACUGAGACAAGGGCCCAGGCCCUACGGGGCGCAGCAGUCGCGAAAACUCCGCAAUACACGAAAGUGUGACGGGGCCAUCCCGAGUGCCAUCCGCUGAGGAUGGCUUUUCCCCGGUGUAAAAAGCCGGGGGAAUAAGGAGAGGGCAAGCCUGGUGUCAGCCGCCGCGGUAACACCAGCUCUCCGAGUGGUGGGGACGCUUAUUGGGCCUAAAGCGUCCGUAGCCGGCCGGACAAGUCCCCCGUUAAAUCCAACGAUCCAAUCGUUGGGCUGCGGGGGAUACUGUCCGGCUAGGAGGCGGUAGAGGCCGACGGUAUUCCCGGGGUAGGGGUGAAAUCCUAUAAUCCCGGGAAGACCACCAGUGGCGAAGGCUGUCGGCCAGAACGCGCUCGACGGUGAGGGACGAAAGCUGGGGGAGCGAACCGGAUUAGAUACCCGGGUAGUCCCAGCUGUAAACGAUGCGGGCUAGGUGUUGAAGUGGCUACGAGCCACUUCAGUGCCGCAGGGAAGCCAUUAAGCCCGCCGCCUGGGGAGUACGGCCGCAAGGCUGAAACUUAAAGGAAUUGGCGGGGGAGCAC